rnacentral:tRNA from 1 species
GCGCCCGUAGCUCAGCUGGAUAGAGUACUGGCCUCCGAAGCUAGGGGUCGCGCGUUCGAAUCGCGCCGGGCGCGCCA